AUGAUAGAAGAAGAAGGAGAGGCGGAUAUAAAAAGAAAAGAGGCACCAAUCGUUCCUCUUCAUGUUCGCGAAUUCAUCACCGCCUUCUAUCCUUUCAACUUCCGCUCGCGAUAUCUCUUGCCAAACACCCUUCUCCGCUUCUGUGUUCAAAACCCAGCUCACAUCUCACGCAUACAUACUCCCCAGCUUCAGCAGCAAUUGACUUGUUUGUUGGUUUGUGCAAGUUCUCAAGAUGGAUCAAGUAGUCGCUUCCGCUUCACAUCUUCUAUUCUCUUUUGA